rnacentral:tRNA from 1 species
GGCGGCAUAGCUCAGCUGGUUAGAGCGAGGGAUUCAUAACCCCUAGGUCCGUGGUUCGAGUCCACGUGCCGCCACCA